GAUGAACGCUGGCGGCGUGCCUAAUACAUGCAAGUCGAGCGAACAGACGAGGAGCUUGCUCCUCUGACGUUAGCGGCGGACGGGUGAGUAACACGUGGAUAACCUACCUAUAAGACUGGGAUAACUUCGGGAAACCGGAUCUAAUACCGGAUAAUAUAUUGAACCGCAUGGUUCAUUAGUGAAAGACGGUUUUGCUGUCACUUAUAGAUGUAUCCGGGCCGCAUUAGCUAGUUGGUAAGGUAACGGCUUACCAAGGCAACGAUGCGUAGCGGACCUGAGAGGGGGUUCGGCCACACGGAACCGGGAACCGGGCCCAGACUCUAAGGGGGGGCAGAAGUGGGAAAUGUUCCGAAAGGGGGAAAGGCUGAACGGGGCAACGCGGGGUGGUGAAGGAAGGUUUCGGGUUGGAAAAACUCUUUUAUUAGGGAAAAAGAAAUGUGUAAAUAACUAGGCUGGUUUGACGGGAACAAAAGAAGAAGCCCAGGGCAACCUCCG
rnacentral:rRNA from 1 species